rnacentral:snRNA from 1 species
AUCGCUUCUCAGCCUGUUGGCUAAGAUCAAGUAUAGUAUCUGUUCUUAUCAGUUUAAUAUCUGAUACGUCCUCUAUCUGAGGACAAUAUAUUAAAUGGAUUUUUGGAACAGGGAGAUGGAAUAGGAGCUUGCUCUGUCCACUCCAUGCAUUGACCUGGUAUUGCAGUAUCUCCAGGAACAGUGCACAAAAA